CAGUAGCCGCGGUAAUACGUAGGUCCCGAGCGUUGUCCGGAUUUAUUGGGCGUAAAGCGAGCGCAGGCGGUUAGAUAAGUCUGAAGUUAAAGGCUGGGGCUUAACCAUAGUACGCUUUGGAAACUGUUUAACUUGAGUGCAAGAGGGGAGAGUGGAAUUCCAUGUGUAGCGGUGAAAUGCGUAGAUAUAUGGAGGAACACCGGUGGCGAGAGCGGCUCUCUGGCUUGUAGCUGACGCUGAGGCUCGAAAGCGUGGGGCGCAAACAGGAUUAGAUACCCCGGUAGUCCCUGUCUCUUAUACA
rnacentral:rRNA from 1 species